AGAACGAACGCUGGCGGCAGGCUUAACACAUGCAAGUCGAGCGCCGUAGCAAUACGGAGCGGCAGACGGGUGAGUAACGCGUGGGAACAUACCCUCCGGUUCGGAAUAACUCAGGGAAACUUGAGCUAAUACCGGAUACGGCAUCGGAGAGAGAUCUCGGCGGCGAAAGAUUUAUCGCCGGAGGAUUGGCCCGCGUCCGAUUAGCUAGUUGGUGUGGUAAUGGCGCACCAAGGCGACGAUCGGUAGCUGGUCUGAGAGGAUGAUCAGCCACAUUGGGACUGAGACACGGCCCAAACUCCUACGGGAGGCAGCAGUGGGGAAUAUUGGACAAUGGGCGCAAGCCUGAUCCAGCCAUGCCGCGUGGAUGAUGAAGGCCUUAGGGUUGUAAAGUCCUUUUAACGGGGAAGAUAAUGACGGUACCCGUAGAAUAAGCCCCGGCUAACUUCGUGCCAGCAGCCGC
rnacentral:rRNA from 1 species